rnacentral:rRNA from 1 species
CCUACGGGUGGCUGCAGUGGGGAAUUUUGGACAAUGGGCGCAAGCCUGAUCCAGCCAUGCCGCGUGUCUGAAGAAGGCCUUCGGGUUGUAAAGGACUUUUGUCAGGGAGGAAAUCCCUAAGGUUAAUACCCUUGGGGGAUGACAGUACCUGAAGAAUAAGCACCGGCUAACUACGUGCCAGCAGCCGCGGUAAUACGUAGGGUGCAAGCGUUAAUCGGAAUUACUGGGCGUAAAGCGUGCGCAGGCGGUUAGAUAAGCCAGAUGUGAAAUCCCCG